UACGGUAGGGUGCAAGCGUUAAUCGGAAUUACUGGGCGUAAAGCGUGCGCAGGCGGCUUUGCAAGACAGAUGUGAAAUCCCCGGGCUUAACCUGGGAACUGCAUUUGUGACUGCAUGGCUGGAGUGCGGCAGAGGGGGAUGGAAUUCCGCGUGUAGCAGUGAAAUGCGUAGAUAUGCGGAGGAACACCGAUGGCGAAGGCAAUCCCCUGGGCCUGCACUGACGCUCAUGCACGAAAGCGUGGGGAGCAAACAG
rnacentral:rRNA from 1 species